UUGUCUACUUUUCCAAAUUGAUGGACUCUAUUUGAAACAAGGUCAUGAAUAGGUAAGGCAUGAACCUAAUUCACUGAACAAAAAUUUUUGUAAUACAGUCUGGUAAAGUACUGAAAGAUGAGCAGAUUAUGAAUGUAAUAUAAAUGUUCAUUACUUCAUUCAAUUAAGGAUUACAUGUAUAAGUCUCCUAACCAUCUGAAAAACAAUAUUUGGUAUAUUUAUCUCAUACAUCUUGAUGAAUCCAAACCAUU
rnacentral:lncRNA from 1 species